rnacentral:rRNA from 1 species
AGUAGUUUGACUCCGUGGCUACAGAACGACGCUGGCGGCAGGCUUAACACAUGCAAGUCGAACGGGCGCCUUCGGGCGUCAGUGGCGGACGGGUGAGUAACGCGUGGGAACGUACCCUUUGGUUCGGAAUAACCCAGGGAAACCUGGGCUAAUGCCGGAUGUGCCCGCUUUCCAAAGCGGGGAAAGGUUGACUGCCGAAGGAUCGGCCCGCGUCGGAUUAGCUGGUUGGUGGGGUAACGGCCUACCAAGGCGACGAUCCGUAGCUGGUCUGAGAGGAUGAUCAGCCACACUGGGACUGAGACACGGCCCAGACUCCUACGGGAGGCAGCAGUGGGGAAUAUUGGUCAAUGGGGGAAACCCUGAACCAGCCAUGCCGCGUGAGUGAAGAAGGCCUUAGGGUUGUAAAGCUCUUUCAGCGGGGACGAUAAUGACGGUACCCGCAGAAGAAGCCCCGGCUAACUUCGUG